UCGAGUAGACUGCGGAGUACGUAUCGCCUAUAACGUGAAGGCGGUAAUGUGAAUAACUCAAGGUGUAAUCCCUGGGGUACUUUAAAUAAUUGCGACGCCUUCUGGUUUAUAUGUUGAAAGUAUUUUAUAACUACACCUUCGCAACUAGACUGGCAUGCCCGAUACGUAUGGGAAGAGGUGGCUCACACAGCCACAAACUUUCAGCAUAUGUUCCAUUUGUAUCUGAAACGAAUAGAAUCGAAAUUCAUCUUACCUACAUUUAUUAGAAUAUGUUGAUGUAGUUAUGUUUGCUCUAAGUACUUGUAUGGAGCAGCCGUUGUUACUGUACCACUUGGAAGUGUAAAUACCAUCUGCCUCGUCAAAAAAACGGCAACCACGCCUUUUUGGAGCAUCGAUGGAUGGAGUUCAGCUGAUGAAGUACGAACUUGAACAUAGAUGUAUCCCCCUGCAAACGCAAGAGGGGUAAAACCAAUAUAAUUGAAUACAUAACAUUGACCUGCAGCAGUUUUCAAAGGCCGGAAUUCGUCGCAGCAGUUGAAUUUUCUUGAUCGAUAAAAGCAGUCGUUCAACAGUGAGGGGCAAUUGGCGAUCGACUAUUCAAAAAUCGUGGUA